rnacentral:rRNA from 1 species
GACGAACCGAGCGAACGUUGUUCGGAAUCACUGGGCUUAAAGGGCGCGUAGGCGGGUGCUCAAGUCUGUGGUGAAAUCCCCCGGCUCAACCGGAGAACUGCCAUGGAUACUGGGCGUCUCGAGUGUGGUAGGGGUAUGCGGAACUAUCGAUGGAGCGGUGAAAUGCGUUGAUAUCGAUAGGAACUCCGGUGGCGAAGGCGGCAUACUGGACCAACACUGACGCUGAUGCGCGAAAGCCAGGGGAGCAAACGGG